rnacentral:rRNA from 1 species
UACGUAGGGGGCGAGCGUUGUCCGGAAUCAUUGGGCGUAAAGCGCGUGUAGGCGGCUCGAUAAGUCCGGUGUGAAACCUUGGGGCUCAACCCCAAGCCUGCACUGGAUACUGCCGAGCUAGAGUCCGGGAGGGGAGAGCGGAAUUCCUAGUGUAGCGGUGAAAUGCGUAGAGAUCAGGAAGAACACCGGUGGCGAAAGCGCUCUGCUGGACCUUAACUGACACUGAGGGACGAAAGCUAGGGGAGCGAAUGGG